GAUCCUGGCUCAGGAUGAACGCUAGCUACAGGCUUAACACAUGCAAGUCGAGGGGCAGCAUGGUCUUAGCUUGCUAAGGCCGAUGGCGACCGGCGCACGGGUGAGUAACGCGUAUCCAACCUGCCUUACACUCUUGGGACAGCCUUCUGAAAGGGAGAUUAAUACAAAAUGUUAUCAUGAGUAAGCAUUUUCGCAUGAUUAAAGGUUUACCGGUGUAAGAUGGGGAUGCGUUCCAUUAG
rnacentral:rRNA from 1 species